CAGACCAUCUCAUGCCCAAAGAAGACAGAAGUCCAUUGAUAGCAAGUGAAGUCACUAACAGAAGAUCCUAGAGGAAAAACGACUGAUGUGCAGCUACGGAGGAACACAAGAGGCAGAAACUAUGCAUGGCCAUGGCUUCUUCAUGAGUACGACCAGGACUGAAGAACGCCUGACAAUGGGAUGUUAAGACUUCUUCCUCUGGUUGAGAAAAAGCUACAGCACAUCAGUGAUCACAUCUUCUGGUCAUCAGUUGU